rnacentral:rRNA from 1 species
UACGGAGGGUGCAAGCGUUGUCCGGAUUUAUUGGGCGUAAAGAAUGCGUAGAUGGUGGAAUAAGUUAUUGGUCGAGGUCAAGCUCAACUUGGCGGAAGCUGGUAAUACUGUUCUACUUGAGGGCAGGAGAGGUUGGCGGAAUUCUGUGUGGAGCGGUGAAAUGCGUUGAUCUACAGAGGAACACCAAAAAGGGCGAAGGCAGCCAACUAUUCUGAUCCUGACAUUGAGGCAUGAAAGCGUGGGGAGCAAACCGG